rnacentral:rRNA from 1 species
CGGCAAACUCUGUGCCAGCAGCCGCGGUAAUACGGAGCCGGCAAGCGUUGUUCGGAAUUAUUGGGCGUAAAGGGCACGUAGGUGGACUAGUAAGUUAAAAGUGAAAUACCAAAGCUUAACUUUGGAGCGGCUUUUAAUACUGCUACCCUAGAGGUCGAAAGAGGAUAGCGGAAUUCCUAGUGUAGAGGUGAAAUUCGUAGAUAUUAGGAGGAACACCAGUUGCGAAGGCGGCUAUCUGGUUCGAUACUGACACUGAGGUGCGAAAGCGUGGGGAGAGGGCAGGAUUAGAUACCCUGGUAGUCGUG